GACGAACGCUGGCGGCGUGCUUAACACAUGCAAGUCGAACGGAAAGGCCCUGCUUUUGUGGGGUGCUCGAGUGGCGAACGGGUGAGUAACACGUGAGUAACCUGCCCUUGACUUUGGGAUAACUUCAGGAAACUGGGGCUAAUACCGGCUAGGAGCUCCUGCUGCAUGGGGGGGGUUGGAAAGUUUCGGCGGUUGGGGAUGGACUGGCGGGUUAUCAGCUUGUUGGUGGGGUAGUGGCUUACCAAGGCUUUGACGGGUAGCCGGCCUGAGAGGGUGACCGGCCACAUUGGGACUGAGAUACGGCCCAGACUGCUACGGGAGGCAGCAGUGGGGAAUAUUGCACAAUGGGCGGAAGCCUGAUGCAGCAACGCCGCGUGCGGGAUGACGGCCUUCGGGUUGUAAACCGCUUUCGCCUGUGACGAAGCGUGAGUGACGGUAAUGGGUAAAGAAGCACCGGCUAACUACGUG
rnacentral:rRNA from 1 species